UGUAACAGCGUUUCCCACACGAUCACCAAAAUUAAGCAACGUUGAGCCGGGUCAGUACCUAGAUGAGUGACUGCUUGGGAAUAUCAGGUGCUGUA